rnacentral:lncRNA from 1 species
GGACACAGACGUCAGCAGCUGCGAAGAGGCCUGGCCUGGCCGUGCUGCACCCUCAUCUCUGCCUUUCAGCCUCCAGAAUGGUGAGAAAAACACUUCCUUUGCUUAUCAGUCACCCAGUCUAGGGUUUUUGUUACAGCAGCCCAGAUGGACUAAGACCACCUGCUCAAUCGUUUGUUUCUCAGAUGAAUAAGAACUCUGCCAGGGAAGAGACCUUCCCCAAAACCCCUCACGGGGGACGCUGGUUUUAGUGAUGUCUGCUUUCUAAGUGAGAGCCAUGAUUCAGGAUUGGAGAUGGUGUUUCUUCUCAGUUCUUCGUCCCACAUUUACUUGCUUGGAAUCUGCUCUGUGCCUGGCACUGCACCGGGCACCCUUUAGAUAAGGAUGAGCCCUGAAAAGUGGGAGCAGACGGCUUAAUGGAGCCUCGUUGUGACUCACCCCAGUGGGAAGGUUGAGGCACCUGCCUCGGGGGAAUCCACAGCCAAGAUAAAGCAUCACCCACCAGGCGUGGGGAUGGUCGAGCGUCACCAGAAUGAUGCAGGGUGGAAGGCACACGCCACAGCUCCCUCACUCUAGAAGGAUGUUUUUGAGAAGUCUACCUGCUCCCCAGAGGCAUGGGGCAGCCUAGUUCUCUCUUCCCCUCUUUUCUUUCUUCGCUCUCAAUUCCCCAUCUGUGAGUCACUCGGUAUCAGUCCACUAAACUCUUCUCAGCCCAUGUCAGCAGGAACCAGCUGGCUUUGUGGGGGAAAAUACCAACCUAGCUGUCUGCACAAGGAUGGUAAGAAUUAGAACCUUGGGUCCCAUACCUCCAGCUCACAUCUGGAGAAACUGAAGGGGAGACUUUGAAAUUUGGGGUCAAGGAAGCCUUGUAGCUUUUUGAUUAACAGCACGAGUUCUUGAGUCACCUGGCCUGGAAGAAAAAGCCCACCUCGGCCGUUUAGUUACUGAUUGAUUUCGACCCAUCACUUCACUCACCAAGCUUCAGCUCCUCCUCUCUGACUAUAGGACAAGAUCAGUACCACGCUCCUAAGGCCAGCGAUGCUGCAAAAUGCAUAAUAACCUUUGGUUGUUAUUUUAGUGAUGAUUCUUCUAGAUUUCUCCUGAGAAGUCAUGCAAAACAGGAAUGUGAAUUGCAAAAAAGAUGCUGAGCAGGAAGGCACUAAAGAAAGCCUUUCUCCAAAGGGGAUGUUUAUUUCAGAGGCACACAGGGGGAAGCUCCACCAGCUGUUUUCCAGGAAAUCAUCCACUUCACCCAGGGUGGGGAUAUGGACAAGACAGAGUCCCGGCCUCCCUGGAAACUGGUGUGAGGAAGUCCAGUCAGCAACACAACUGAGAGAGACCCCGCCGUGCCCAGUAGUGCCAGGCAUAGUGAAGUUAAGGCAGCUUUGGAGGAUGGAUUAGCAGGAGAGGGAGGCGAGCGCUGGAGUAGGAAACCCAACUGGCAGCCGGUCCACCGCUGUCCAGCAAAUCCGGUGUUGACUCGGAAGGUCAGUGGAGACGGAGGGAGUUGAGAGAUGUGGGAUCUGCUUUGGAGGCAGAGACAACAGAAUGGGAGAAAGGAAUCCAGGAUGACGCCGACGUCUUGGGGAGGCGCUGCUGAGGAGUGUGAGUGAGGUCCCGCCUGACUCCAGCUAGUGGGCUGCUGCCUUCUUCUGGCUUCCGAACCAGAAAGGGAGAGAGAGGGACAUCUUCUGCUUUUGAUUCUAUAACUUUUCCGUACAUUUUGAAGUUUCUAACUAUAGGCACAUAUUUUUAUUAUGUUUUUUAAUAAGUUUAUUUAUUUAUUAUUUUGUCUUUUGAGGGUCGCACUCGCAGUCUAUGGAAUUUCCCAGGCCAGGGGUUGAAUUGGAGCUGUAGCUGCCAGUCUACGCCACAGCCACAGCAGAUCUGAGCCACAUCUGUGACCUACACCACAACUCAUGGCAACGCCGAAUCCUUAACCCACUGUGCAAGGCCAGGGAUCAAACCUGGGUCUUCAUGAAUACUAGUCAGGCUUGUUACCCCUGAGCCAUGAUGGGAACUCUCUAUUAUUUGUUUUCUUAUUUAAAUAUCAGCAGGGCUUUUCUGAUCAAUAAGCUGAGAAUCCAUUUUUAUCUUCUUCAUUAGAUUUUAUUAAAAAAAAACCUGUUAAAGUGAAUAAAUGAUUAACUGCCUGAAAUAUUUAACUUGCCAUGCCAAGCCAAUUAAAUAUAAUGUUACACUUGAAAAGACAAAGGUCAUUUAAAGAGUGCAAGAAUUCCUCAACCCACACCAAACUGCUACCAGCCUGCUAGUGCCCACAAAGUUUGCCCGGACAAUAACCCUUUUAUUCAACAGAUAUCUGAGUGCCUACUGUGUACCAGGCAUUGUUCUGAGUACCAGUAGAUAAAACAAAGCUCGCAGUGAGUCACAGACUAGAUUCAAGUUGGAGGAAACACAAUUAGUAAGUAGACAUUAUAUACAAACAUGUAACAAGUGCUGCAUUGAAAAAUUAAAGAAGGGCUGGGUGGCGAGUGACCGGUGGAGAUGGAGGGUGUGCACAGAACACAUGCCACAGUCGCAUCACUGCAGAGAAAGGUCAGGAGGCCUGAGGAGGCAGAGACUUCAGCAGUGACCUGGAUGGAGGCAAGGAAGGGAUGAGCCACACCAAGAGCUGAAGGACGGACCAGGAAAGGCCCUGAAAUGGGAGAGCUGGAAACCAUUAUCGGUCUUAAGGAACAGGAUCCUGGGACGCGUUGUGUGCAGUCUGCUCUGAGACGCUGACCAGCAGGAGCGGCACUCUGACAGGCCAGCGAUGGCAGACCUCAACCAAAUAAAAGUUAUGCAAAGUGUCAACCAAAAGAGCAAUGAUGAGCUUGGCGUGGGCCAUGGCUGAACCCGACUGGAGACCUCUGCGGCCCUCACACACAGCCACGGGGAGCUCACAGCCAUGAUUCAGUACGGCGCACAGCAGACAGAGAGGAGACACCUUACCUGUAUCAUCUACAGAUACCGCUUGAAAAAUCACACGUAAUUAGGCCCUUCUCACAGGGGAAGCUACUCGAAGCUCUAUCACCAGCUGUCCUCUAAAAACAGCAGCUCCGCGCUACCUAACUGAAGGAAAACGCAAUGGUGGGAGAUGUACUGACAUCUGCAGGGUGGCCCUGAGGUGGCUUCCCCCCCAGACUGUUCUGCUCCAUUAAUCCUGGUGCAAGAAAUAAGAUGUCGUGGUCACUAGGUGCCACCCCUGCUUGUCCUCCAUUGGCCCUUGCUGUACACAGGCAUACAUUUCCCUUGAGCAACGUCAGAUGAGAAAGUGAUUUCAUUUCCAUCACAGGGGAGAAGACAAACAGAAGACCCAGAGGCAGCGACUUGCUUGGAGGCCUCCAAGGCUGUCAGGAAGCAGGAUGCAAGCAGAGCCUUGAAACAUGUUUGCACCAUGGGUCUGGCUCUUUUUGCACGUCCAGCAUGGCCAUGAGAAGCGGCUGCCUAUUUAUCCAAAAAGGAUGAAAGACACCUGGAGCAGACCUGGAUGCAACCCACAUCUUGAAGUCCUGACGAGCCUGGAUCACCUGAAAACCAGCCAACUUGCAGAUGCUGUUGUGAGAAAAUUGAGGAAUGAAAAGGAUACGUGACUUACCCAAACAAUGGCCAUGUCGUGAGAACAUUCAAGAAAAACUCCACAUGGUGAAGAACUGAGGCCUCCAGCCAACAGCCGUGUGAGUGCACCAUCUUAGAAGCAGAUGCUCCAACUGCAGUCAAGCUUUUAGAUGCUGGCAGCCUCGACCAACAUCCUGACUGUACUGUGACUACUUGGGAGAGAGCUUGAGCCAAAACCGUCCAUCCAGACUGUUCUCAGUGAUUCCUGACCUCAGAAACUGGGAGAGAAUCACACACGACUGGGGAUGUCCUAAUUUCCAAGGAAGACCUGUGGUGGCUCAUGUUCAAACACGGCCCUUGGAUAAGGGCUGGUCUAGUGACUUUCCAACAGAUAGAAUACAACAAACAUGAUGCAACGUCACCUCAGGAUCAGAUCCUUCCACCUUUGCCAGCAGACUCUACUGNGUCACAGAGGACUGUACCUUCCACCUUUGCCAGCAGACUCUACUGCCUGCUCAGCUUAUACACUGUGAUGAAGCAAGCUGCCACGUGAGGAGGCCCCGUGUGGCAAGGAGCCUCUGACCAAGAUCAAGGAAAGACCCGAAGUCCUCCAUCCACCAGCCCUUGAGGAAACCAAUCCUACUAAGAGGUAUGUGAGCUUGGAGGCAGAUGCUUCUCCACUUGAGCCUUCAGAUGAGGCCUCAGCCUCAAGUGACCCCUCGAGUGAAGACCUGCAAGAGACCCAGCCAAGCAUGGUCCAGAUUCUGAUCCACAGAAACUGAGAGACAUGUGUGCCUUAUUAUAAGCUGCUGUGGGGGCGGGGAGUGGAUGGGAUGGGGGGGACAAUUUGUUACACAAAACAGAGGACUAACACAGACCUACCCAGUCAAUUAAUAACACAUAGAGAGGAAGGAAGGAAAGAGCUGGAUAAGGAGCUGGCAUCUCUGGAUUCUGGCCACAUUCCACCACCUAGUACAGAGGUGAUCAGAGAAAAGGCA